GAUGAACGCUAGCUACAGGCUUAACACAUGCAAGUCGAGGGGAAACGACAUUGGAAGCUUGCUUCCGAUGGGCGUCGACCGGCGCACGGGUGAGUAACGCGUAUCCAACCUGCCCAUCACUUGGGGAUAACCUUGCGAAUGUAAGACUAAUACCCAAUGAUAUCUCUAGAAGACAUCUGAAAGGGAUUAAAGAUUUAUCGGGGAUGGAUGGGGAUGCGUCUGAUUAGCUUGUUGGCGGGGUAACGGCCCACCAAGGCGACGAUCAGUAGGGGUUCUGAGAGGAAGGUCCCCCACAUUGGAACUGAGACACGGUCCAAACUCCUACGGGAGGCAGCAGUGAGGAAUAUUGGUCAAUGGGCGAGAGCCUGAACCAGCCAAGUAGCGUGCAGGAUGACGGCCCUAUGGGUUGUAAACUGCUUUUAUAAGGGAAUAAAGUGAGUCUCGUGAGACUUUUUGCAUGUACCUUAUGAAUAAGGACCGGCUAAUUCCGUGCCAGCAGCCGCAGUAA
rnacentral:rRNA from 1 species